GAUGAACGCUAGCGGGAGGCCUAACACAUGCAAGCCGAGCGGUAUUGUUUCUUCGGAAAUGAGAGAGCGGCGUACGGGUGCGGAACACGUGUGCAACCUGCCUUUAUCUGGGGGAUAGCCUUUCGAAAGGAAGAUUAAUACUCCAUAAUAUAUUGAACGGCAUCGUUUAAUAUUGAAAGCUCCGGCGGAUAGAGAUGGGCACGCGCAAGAUUAGCUAGUUGGUGAGGUAACGGCUCACCAAGGCGAUGAUCUUUAGGGGGCCUGAGAGGGUGAUCCCCCACACUGGUACUGAGACACGGACCAGACUCCUACGGGAGGCAGCAGUGAGGAAUAUUGGUCAAUGGGUGCAAGCCUGAACCAGCCAUCCCGCGUGAAGGACGACUGCCCUAUGGGUUGUAAACUUCUUUUGUAUAGGGAUAAACCUACCCUCGUGAGGGUAGCUGAAGGUACUAUACGAAUAAGCACCGGCUAACUCCGUGCCAGCAGCCGCGGUAAUACGGAGGGUGCAAGCGCUAUCCGGAUUUAUUGGGUUUAAAGGGUCCGUAGGCGGACUUAUAAGUCAGUGGUGAAAGCCUGUCGCUUAACGAUAGAACUGCCAUUGAUACUGUAAGUCUUGAGUAUAUUUGAGGUAGCUGGAAUAAGUAGUGUAGCGGUGAAAUGCAUAGAUAUUACUUAGAACACCAAUUGCGAAGGCAGGUUACCAAGAUAUAACUGACGCUGAGGGACGAAAGCGUGGGGAGCGAACGGGAUUAGAUACCCUGGUAGUCCACGCCGUAAACGAUGCUAACUCGUUUUUGGGCUUUAGGGUUCAGAGACCAAGCGAAAGUGAUAAGUUAGCCACCUGGGGAGUACGCUCGCAAGAGUGAAACUCAAAGGAAUUGACGGGGGCCCGCACAAGCGGUGGAUUAUGUGGUUUAAUUCGAUGAUACGCGAGGAACCUUACCAAGACUUAAAUGGGAAUUGACAGCUUUAGAAAUAGAGCUUUCUUCGGACAAUUUUCAAGGUGCUGCAUGGUUGUCGUCAGCUCGUGCCGUGAGGUGUUAGGUUAAGUCCUGCAACGAGCGCAACCCCUGUCACUAGUUGCCAUCAUUCAGUUGGGGACUCUAGUGAGACUGCCUACGCAAGUAGAGAGGAAGGUGGGGAUGACGUCAAAUCAUCACGGCCCUUACGUCUUGGGCCACACACGUAAUACAAUGGCCGGUACAGAGGGCAGCUACACAGCGAUGUGAUGCAAAUCUCGAAAGCCGGUCUCAGUUCGGAUUGGAGUCUGCAACUCGACUCUAUGAAGCUGGAAUCGCUAGUAAUCGCGCAUCAGCCAUGGCGCGGUGAAUACGUUCCCGGGCCU
rnacentral:rRNA from 1 species